rnacentral:rRNA from 1 species
CCUACGGGCGGCAGCAGUGAGGAAUAUUGGUCAAUGGACGAGAGUCUGAACCAGCCAAGUAGCGUGAAGGAUGACUGCCCUAUGGGUUGUAAACUUCUUUUAUAAAGGAAUAAAACGAGGCACGUGUGCCUUUUUGCAGGUACUUUAUGAAUAAGGACCGGCUAAUUCCGUGCCAGCAGCCGCGGUAAUACGGAGGGUCCGGGCGUUAUCCGGAUUUAUUGGGUUUAAAGGGAGCGUAGACGGGUUGUUAAGUCAGUUGUGAAAUGUUGCGGCUCAACCGUAAAAUUGCAAUGGGUACUGGCAGUCUUGAGUACAGUUGAGGUAGGCGGAAUUCGUGGUGUAGCGGUGAAAUGCUUAGAUAUCACGAAGAACCCCGAUUGCGAAGGCAGCUUACUAAACUGUGACUGACACUGAUGCUCGAAAGUGUGGGUAUCAAACAGGAUUAGAUACCCCUGUAGUC